UAGUCUGAUCACGCAGGAAAUUGGAAUAAGAAUUGUACUCCAGGGAUGUCUCCCUUGAGUCAAGAGCUGGGCUUUUUGACCUUCUGUUGAGAAACCCUUCUGGGAACCAGAGUGGUUAGGAACAUGGACAUUGAAGUUAGAGCUGGAAUCGAAACUCAGUUCGAAUGCAGCCACCUUUUUGCUUUGCUGAGUGGGAAAUGCAAGAGGGAGGCUAGAGCCAUGUAAGAUGUGCCUGCUUCUCCUUCACCUU
rnacentral:lncRNA from 1 species